ACGUAGGGAGCGAGCGUUGUUCGGAAUUAUUGGGCGUAAAGGGCGUGCAGGCGGUGUUGCAAGUCAGGUGUGAAAUCCCAGGGCUUAAACAGGGAACGGCAUUCGAAACUGCAAGGCUGGAGUUCAGGAGAAGAAAGCGGAAUUCUCGGUGUAGCGGUGAAAUGCGUAGAUAUCGGGAAGAACACCAGUGGCGAAGGCGGCUUGCUGGGCUGAAACUGACGCUGAGGCGCGAAAGCCAGGGGAGCAAACGG
rnacentral:rRNA from 1 species